rnacentral:rRNA from 1 species
UACGUAGGCGGAAAAUUAAGUCAGUGGUGAAAUCCUGCAGCUUAACUGUAGAACUGUUAUUGAUACUGGUUUUCUUGAAUAUAGUUGAGGUAGGCGGAAUGUGUAAUGUAGCGGUGAAAUGCUUAGAUAUUACACAGAACACCGAUUGCGAAGGCAGCUUACUAAGCUAUGAUUGACGCUGAGGUACGAAAGCGUGGGGAGCGAACAGGAUUAGAUACCCUGGUAGUCC